GCGACUGUAGCUCAGUUGGUUAGAGCGCCGGUUUGUGGUACCGGAGGUCGAGGGUUCGAGACCCUUCAGUCGCC
rnacentral:tRNA from 1 species